CGAGUUGAUCAGACAAUCGCUGCUUUAUCGUUGUAUUUAGUGCUUCGGCAUUUUAUAUACGGGUAGGGGGGAGGAAAGUCCGGGCUCCAAUGAGCAGGGUGCCAGGUAACGCCUGGGCGGCGCAAGCCGACGACAAGUGCAGCAGAGAGAAGACCGCCGAUGACCGCUUGCGGAACAGGUAAGGCUGAAAGGGUGCGGUAAGAGCGCACCGGACCACUGGUAACAGUUGGUUGCAGGGUAAACUCCACCCGGAGCAAGACCAAAUAGGGUUUCAUAUGGCGUGGCUCGCGUUGAAACCGGGUAGGUUGCUUGAGCCUUAGAGCGAUUUAAGGCCUAGACGAAUGAUUGUCCUAGACAAAACCCGGCUUAUCGGUCAACUCACUAA
rnacentral:RNase_P_RNA from 1 species